GGUCCCGUGGUGUAGUGGUUAACAUGCCUGCCUGUCACGCAGGAGAUCGCCGGUUCGACCCGGUCGGGACCGCCA
rnacentral:tRNA from 1 species